GACGAACGCUGGCGGCGCGCCUAACACAUGCAAGUCGAACGAGCGAGAGAGAGCUUGCUUUCUCGAGCGAGUGGCGAACGGGUGAGUAACGCGUGAGGAACCUGCCUCAAAGAGGGGGACAACAGUUGGAAACGACUGCUAAUACCGCAUAAGCCCACGGCUCGGCAUCGAGCAGAGGGAAAAGGAGCAAUCCGCUUUGAGAUGGCCUCGCGUCCGAUUAGCUAGUUGGUGAGGUAACGGCCCACCAAGGCGACGAUCGGUAGCCGGACUGAGAGGUUGAACGGCCACAUUGGGACUGAGACACGGCCCAGACUCCUACGGGAGGCAGCAGUGGGGAAUAUUGCACAAUGGGGGAAACCCUGAUGCAGCGACGCCGCGUGGAGGAAGAAGGUCUUCGGAUUGUAAACUCCUGUUGUUGGGGAAGAUAAUGACGGUACCCAACAAGGAAGUGACGGCUAACUACGUGCCAGCAGCCGCGGUAAAACGUAGGUCACAAGCGUUGUCCGGAAUUACUGGGUGUAAAGGGAGCGCAGGCGGGAAGACAAGUUGGAAGUGAAAUCUAUGGGCUCAACCCAUAAACUGCUUUCAAAACUGUUUUUCUUGAGUAGUGCAGAGGUAGGCGGAAUUCCCGGUGUAGCGGUGGAAUGCGUAGAUAUCGGGAGGAACACCAGUGGCGAAGGCGGCCUACUGGGCACCAACUGACGCUGAGGCUCGAAAGUGUGGGUAGCAAACAGGAUUAGAUACCCUGGUAGUCCACACCGUAAACGAUGAUUACUAGGUGUUGGAGGAUUGACCCCUUCAGUGCCGCAGUUAACACAAUAAGUAAUCCACCUGGGGAGUACGACCGCAAGGUUGAAACUCAAAGGAAUUGACGGGGGCCCGCACAAGCAGUGGAGUAUGUGGUUUAAUUCGACGCAACGCGAAGAACCUUACCAAGUCUUGACAUCCCUUGACAGGCAUAGAAAUAUGUUUUCUCUUCGGAGCAAGGAGACAGGUGGUGCAUGGUUGUCGUCAGCUCGUGUCGUGAGAUGUUGGGUUAAGUCCCGCAACGAGCGCAACCCUUAUGGUCAGUUACUACGCAAGAGGACUCUGGCCAGACUGCCGUUGACAAAACGGAGGAAGGUGGGGAUGACGUCAAAUCAUCAUGCCCUUUAUGACUUGGGCUACACACGUACUACAAUGGCGUUAAACAAAGAGAAGCAAGACCGCGAGGUGGAGCAAAACUCAGAAACAACGUCCCAGUUCGGACUGCAGGCUGCAACUCGCCUGCACGAAGUCGGAAUUGCUAGUAAUCGUGGAUCAGCAUGCCACGGUGAAUACGUUCCCGGGCCUU
rnacentral:rRNA from 1 species